GGGCAGCCGCCGCCCAAUCUCCCUCGCUGUCGUCCUUUCUUGAGCUCCAGGGGGCAGAAUGGUCAUUAUGUCUGUCAUCCUCGUCAUGGCCGGAAGAAACAACCUCCGCCCACGUGGAUCUGGAGCGCUGCUCCGGAUGCUCCGGAGAGUGGGUGUCAUCAGCGCCGUCGCCGGCGGCGCCGCCGAGGGCGACGUCGAUGAGACCCUUGAUCAGGCCG
rnacentral:misc_RNA from 1 species